GGCGGCAGGCUUAACACAUGCAAGUCGAGCGGUAGCAGAUCUAGCUUGCUAGAUGCUGACGAGCGGCGGACGGGUGAGUAACGCAUAGGAACCUGCCCAGUAGGUGGGGAUACGACCCGGGAACUCGGAUUAAUACCGCAUACGCUCUACGGAGGAAAGAGGGGGCUUCGGCUCUCGCUAUUGGAUGGGCCUGCGUGAGAUUAGCUAGUUGGUGAGGUAAUGGCUCACCAAGGCGACGAUCUCUAGCUGGUCUGAGAGGAUGAUCAGCCACACUGGGACUGAGACACGGCCCAGACUCCUACGGGAGGCAGCAGUGGGGAAUAUUGCACAAUGGGCGCAAGCCUGAUGCAGCCAUGCCGCGUGUGUGAAGAAGGCUUUCGGGUUGUAAAGCACUUUCAGUGGGGAGGAAGGCCUCGUAGUUAAUAGCUGCGAGGAUUGACGUUACCCACAGAAGAAGCACCGGCUAACUCCGUG
rnacentral:rRNA from 1 species